rnacentral:lncRNA from 1 species
GGAACAAGACGGUUUUAUACUGCCAAGGGCGUGGUAGCUCGUACCAAGGGCGUGGUGGGCUGGAAACUGCAUACGUCACCUGCCACCGCUUACCUCACGUACCACCCCAAACAUCCAAUAGGAAAAAUCAACUGCAGUAGCCACCGUUCAACCUGAAGAGGGCAGCACUCAGACGUUUUUACACCAUAUAUUGUAGGAUUAAAACACUUUAUACUCAAAUGUCAAAAAAGUUACUCGAAUCAAUGAACAGCACUAAUAAAGCUCCAUUCUUACAGAUCAUUAACUAAAAAAAAGUUGGUUUAGGGUUUAGAACUCUUUAAAUAUAUAUCACACUAACUAGUUAGGCAUUAUGAUCUUCCUGACCUUUGCUUCAAAAAUUUUCUCUAACUGGACCUCUUUAAAUUUUAGUUGAAUACCCCUGAUGUAGAGCAUAUCGUCUCUUUCCUAUUUUAAGCAUGUGCUCAUUAAUAUUAAGCUUCUGUGUGGGCGUUCUAAUGAGGUCACGUAGCAGCCUCAGCACGACCUAAUUAAUAUUCAUGAGCUAUGACUCCUCCAUAGUGCGGUUCGCAAGUUCGCGUUCGUCGCGACGCUACGAGAAGUAUCGCAGAAGUCUCGCGAGAGGCGCUCACUUGUACGGCCGCCAUAUUGUGUGACACUAUUUUGAUUCUUAUCUGCUGGAAGAGAGAAAGGAAGCGAGAAAAUAAGGGGGAGCGGAGGGGGAAACGCAGAAGAGCUGUCAGAAGAGAGCGAAGCGGCGCGGGAUUCGCGAGCAGACUUGGGCCUGGUUCUGUCCGCAGAUCCGCGGCGCUGACACGUGCCCAAAUGUGAGCGUGUCUGGAGGGUCUUUGACGCUGACCCUGGCGAUCGGGCGGUCCCUGACCAGUCUAGGUGUGGCUCGAGCGCAGUCGCUGCUGAAAGCGUGUGAGCUGCUCUGCUCCGUGGCGGUGGAGCUCAUGUCCGGUUGUUCCUAGUCUUCCCUCUCAGCUUCACACUGCUUUAGGCAAGGCAAGAAAGUUUAUUUAUAUAAGAUUUCAUACAUAAUGGUAAUUCAAAGUGCUUUAUAUAAAAGAAAAGAAAAUAAUAAUAAUAAAAUAAUAAUAAUCACAACAAUAAGACAGGGAAUUUAAAAACUUUGAAAAUGAUUUAAGAAUUGAUUUAAAGGGGUCCUAUUAUGCUCUUUUACAAAGUCUUGAUUUUGUUUUGGUGGUGUACUACAACAGGCUCUCAUACUAGGUUGUUCAAAAACACAUUAUUUUCACAUAUUUUACAUGAUUACAACACCUCUCUCCCCAGUCUGGCAUGAACAGCUCGAAUAGUUCCUGCAUCAAAUGAAAGCCUGCCUUCUGAAAUACGAAAUGUGUUGUGAUUGGUUAGCUGGGCCAGUGCGUGCUGUGAUUGGUCAGCUGGGCCAGUGUGUGUUGUGAUUGGUCACGCUGGGCCACGUGCGUGCUGUGAUUGGUCAGCUGGGCCAGUGUGUGUUGUGAUUGGUCAGCUGGGCCAGUGUGUGUUGUGAUUGGUCAGCUGGGCCAGUGCGUGCUGUGAUUGGUCAGCUGGGCCAGUGUGUGUUGUGAUUGGUCAGCUGGGCCAGUGCGUGUUGUGAUUGGCUCCACUCGGAGCCUGGUCGAGAAAUGUCAUGCCCCUUACCAUAGCCACCUGCUGUGAGUUUCAUUACGUCUAAAUUGUAACCACUCUAAGUUUGUGUGUCUUGGGAAAGCUAGCGUGUCUCUGACAUAGUGAUAACACUCGUUGUCUUCCCUAGUGCAGCUCAGCCAGGUCUCGUCCCAUUUGUUGGUAUUUGUGA